rnacentral:rRNA from 1 species
UUGCACGCUGGCGGCAUGCCUUACACAUGCCAGUCGCACGGCAGCGCGGACUUCGGUCUGGCGGCGAGUGGCGAACGGGUGAGUAAUACAUCGGAACGUACCCUGUUGUGGGGGAUAACUAGUCGAAAGAUUAGCUAAUACCGCAUACGACCUGAGGGUGAAAGUGGGGGACCGCAAGGCCUCACGCAGCAGGAGCGGCCGAUGUCUGAUUAGCUAGUUGGUGGGGUAAAGGCCCACCAAGGCGACGAUCAGUAGCUGGUCUGAGAGGACGAUCAGCCACACUGGGACUGAGACACGGCCCAGACUCCUACGGGAGGCAGCAGUGGGGAAUUUUGGACAAUGGGGGCAACCCUGAUCCAGCAAUGCCGCGUGUGUGAAGAAGGCCUUCGGGUUGUAAAGCACUUUUGUCCGGAAAGAAAUCGCGCUGGUUAAUACCUGGCGUGGAUGACGGUACCGGAAGAAUAAGCACCGGCUAACUACGUG